GAUGUCAACGCGACCACCAAAUCAGUCUUGCUUGGGACCUCUGAACCAAGCCAAGACCGUCGACUGGGAAGGGCUUCAAGUGGCCGCCAAAGCAUUGAAGGCGUACGAGCGAGCCAGAUGGACGCAUUUGGAUUCCCUCAUAGACUCACCAAGGAACACCGUAGUUGGUCAGCGGGAGCAUGCGAUUGUCUGAAGAGACCAAAACAAAAUCUCUUUGAGAACAUUUGUGCAAAAAUAUUUUGAAAAUUUGAAAUGAAAUUCUCUCUCUUUCCUGC